rnacentral:rRNA from 1 species
UACGGAGGGAGCUAGCGUUAUUCGGAAUUACUGGGCGUAAAGCGCACGUAGGCGGCCUCGUAAGUCGGAUGUGAAAGCCCCAGGCUUAACCUGGGAAGUGCACUCGAAACUGCGAGGCUUGAGUAUCGGAGAGGUUGGUGGAAUUCUCGGUGUAGAGGUGAAAUUCGUAGAUAUCGAGAGGAACACCGGUGGCGAAGGCGGCCAACUGGACGAAUACUGACGCUGAGACACGAAAGCGUGGGGAGCAAACAGG